rnacentral:rRNA from 1 species
CCUACGGGUGGCAGCAGUGAGGAAUAUUUGUCAAUGAGCGGGAGCCUGAACCAGCCAAGUCGCGUGAGGGAUGACGGUCCUAUGGAUUGUAAACCUCUUUAGGCGGGGAGCAAUGCCGGGCACGCGUGCCCGGAGGGAGAGUACCCGCAGAAUAAGCAUCGGCUAACUCCGUGCCAGCAGCCGCGGUAAUACGGGGGAUGCAAGCGUUAUCCGGAUUUAUUGGGUUUAAAGGGUGCGUAGACUGUGAGGUUAGUCAGCGGUGAAAUGCCCCCGGUCAACGGGGUGAAGUGCCAUUGAUACUGGCUUGAUAGAAUGCGAAUGCCGUGGGAGGAAUGUGUGGUGUAGCGGUGAAAUGCAUAGAUAUCACACAGAACACCGAUUGCGAAGGCAUCUCACGAAUCCGAGAUUGACGCUGAUGCACGAAAGCGUGGGUAUCAAACAGGAUUAGAUACCCUUGUAGUC